GACGAACGCUGGCGGCGUGCUUAACACAUGCAAGUCGAACGGUGAACCUCUUCGGGGGGGCUCAGUGGCGAACGGGUGAGUAACCCGUGGGCAACCUCCCCCCGGCUCUGGGUUAACUCCAAGAUAUCGGGGCUAAUACUGGAUGUUCACCGCUUCCCGCCUGGGGGGUGGUGCAAAGGGUUUGCGGCUGUGGAUGGGCCCGCGGCCCAUCAGCCAGUUUGGGGGGUAGUGGCCUUCCAGGGCGACGACGGGUAACCGGCCUUGGAGGGUGACCGGCCACAAGGGGCCUACGGGAGGGACCAGACGGGAACGGGAGGCAACGGUGGGAAGUAUUGCGCAAUGAGCGGGAGCCUGAGACAGCGACGCCGCGUGGGGGAAGACGGCCUGCGGGUAGAAAACCGCAGUCGGCAGAGACGAAGCGGAAGUGACGGUACCUGAAGAAGAAGCACCGGCUAACUACGUG
rnacentral:rRNA from 1 species